GACGAACGCUGGCGGCGUGCUUAACACAUGCAAGUCGAACGGAAAGGCCCUGCUUGCAGGGUACUCGAGUGGCGAACGGGUGAGUAACACGUGGGUGAUCUGCCCUGCACUUCGGGAUAAGCCUGGGAAACUGGGUCUAAUACCGGAUAGGAGCCAUUUUUAGUGUGAUGGUUGGAAAGUUUUUUCGGUGUAGGAUGAGCUCGCGGCCUAUCAGCUUGUUGGUGGGGUAAUGGCCUACCAAGGCGGCGACGGGUAGCCGGCCUGAGAGGGUGGACGGCCACAGUGGGACUGAGAUACGGCCCAGACUCCGACGGGAGGCAGCAGUGGGGAAUAUUGCACAAUGGGCGCAAGCCUGAUGCAGCGACGCCGCGUGGGGGAGGACGGCCUUCGGGUUGUAAACGCCUUUCGCUAGGGACGAAGCUUUUUGUGACGGUACCUAGAUAAGAAGCACCGGCUAACUACGUG
rnacentral:rRNA from 1 species